AGCCCGGGAGUGCACCUGUGGGAGGGUGCGCAGGUAUUGGGCCUUCUUCCCGUUUCGCAAGCGGCCGGCGGCUGAGGCCCGACAGCCCGCCCG
rnacentral:ncRNA from 1 species